rnacentral:rRNA from 1 species
UACGUAGGGUGCGAGCGUUAAUCGGAAUUACUGGGCGUAAAGCGUGCGCAGGCGGUUUUGUAAGCCAGAUGUGAAAGCCCCGGGCUUAACCUGGGAAUGGCAUUUGGGACUGCAAGGCUUGAGUUUGGCAGAGGAGACUGGAAUUCCACGUGUAGCAGUGAAAUGCGUAGAGAUGUGGAGGAAUACCGAUGGCGAAGGGCAGCCUCCUGGGCCAACACUGACGCUCAUGCACGAAAGCGUGGGGAGCAACAG